AACGAACGCUGGCGGCAUGCCUAACACAUGCAAGCCGAACGGGAUCCGGACUUCGGCCCGGUGAGAGUGGCGGACGGGUGAGUAACACGUGGGAACCUGCCUUUUGGUUCGGGAUAACCGCGGGAAACUGCGGCUAAUACCGGAUGCUCCCGAGAGGGAAAAGAUUUAUCGCCAGAAGAGGGGCCCGCGUCCGAUUAGGUAGUUGGUGGGGUAAUGGCCUACCAAGCCGACGAUCGGUAGCUGGUCUGAGAGGAUGAUCGGCCGCACUGGGACUGAGAUACGGCCCAGACUCCUACGGGAGGCAGCAGUGGGGAAUAUUGGACAAUGGGGGCAACCCUGAUCCAGCAAUGCCGCGUGAGUGAUGAAGGCCUUAGGGUUGUAAAGCCCUGUCGCAGGGGAAGAAUAAGCAUCGGUAUAAUACGCCGGUGCCCUGACGGUACCCUGCAAGAAAGCACCGGCUAACUCCGUGCCAGCAGCCGCGGUAAU
rnacentral:rRNA from 1 species